rnacentral:rRNA from 3 species
GGUCAAGUGAAGAAGCGCAUACGGUGGAUGCCUUGGCAGUCAGAGGCGAUGAAAGACGUGGUAGCCUGCGAAAAGCUUCGGGGAGUCGGCAAACAGACUUUGAUCCGGAGAUGUCUGAAUGGGGGAACCCAGCCAUCAUAAGAUGGUUAUCUUGUACUGAAUACAUAGGUGCAAGAGGCGAACCAGGGGAACUGAAACAUCUAAGUACCCUGAGGAAAAGAAAUCAACCGAGAUUCCCUUAGUAGUGGCGAGCGAACGGGGACUAGCCCUUAAGUGGCUUUGAGAUUAGCGGAACGCUCUGGAAAGUGCGGCCAUAGUGGGUGAUAGCCCUGUACGCGAAAAUCUCUUAGUCAUGAAAUCGAGUAGGACGGAGCACGAGAAACUUUGUCUGAAUAUGGGGGGACCAUCCUCCAAGGCUAAAUACUACUGACUGACCGAUAGUGAACUAGUACCGUGAGGGAAAGGCGAAAAGAACCCCGGAGAGGGGAGUGAAAUAGAUCCUGAAACCGUAUGCGUACAAGCAGUGGGAGCAGACUUUGUUCUGUGACUGCGUACCUUUUGUAUAAUGGGUCAGCGACUUAUUUUCAGUGGCGAGCUUAACCGAAUAGGGGAGGCGUAGCGAAAGCGAGUCUUAAUAGGGCGUCUAGUCGCUGGGAAUAGACCCGAAACCGGGCGAUCUAUCCAUGGGCAGGUUGAAGGUUGGGUAACACUAACUGGAGGACCGAACCGACUACCGUUGAAAAGUUAGCGGAUGACCUGUGGAUCGGAGUGAAAGGCUAAUCAAGCUCGGAGAUAGCUGGUUCUCCUCGAAAGCUAUUUAGGUAGCGCCUCAUGUAUCACUGUAGGGGGUAGAGCACUGUUUCGGCUAGGGGGUCAUCCCGACUUACCAAACCGAUGCAAACUCCGAAUACCUACAAGUGCCGAGCAUGGGAGACACACGGCGGGUGCUAACGUCCGUCGUGAAAAGGGAAACAACCCAGACCGUCAGCUAAGGUCCCAAAGUUAUGGUUAAGUGGGAAACGAUGUGGGAAGGCUUAGACAGCUAGGAGGUUGGCUUAGAAGCAGCCACCCUUUAAAGAAAGCGUAAUAGCUCACUAGUCGAGUCGGCCUGCGCGGAAGAUGUAACGGGGCUCAAACCAUACACCGAAGCUACGGGUAUCACGUAAGUGAUGCGGUAGAGGAGCGUUCUGUAAGCCUGUGAAGGUGAGUUGAGAAGCUUGCUGGAGGUAUCAGAAGUGCGAAUGCUGACAUGAGUAACGACAAUGGGUGUGAAAAACACCCACGCCGAAAGACCAAGGUUUCCUGCGCAACGUUAAUCGACGCAGGGUUAGUCGGUCCCUAAGGCGAGGCUGAAAAGCGUAGUCGAUGGAAAACAGGUUAAUAUUCCUGUACUUCUGGUUAUUGCGAUGGAGGGACGGAGAAGGCUAGGCCAGCUUGGCGUUGGUUGUCCAAGUUUAAGGUGGUAGGCUGAGAUCUUAGGUAAAUCCGGGAUCUUAAGGCCGAGAGCUGAUGACGAGCUAACUUUUAGUUAGCGAAGUGGUUGAUGCCAUGCUUCCAAGAAAAGCUUCUAAGCUUCAGGUAACCAGGAACCGUACCCCAAACCGACACAGGUGGUUGGGUAGAGAAUACCAAGGCGCUUGAGAGAACUCGGGUGAAGGAACUAGGCAAAAUGGCACCGUAACUUCGGGAGAAGGUGCGCCGGUGAGGGUGAAGGACUUGCUCCGUAAGCUCAUGCCGGUCGAAGAUACCAGGCCGCUGCGACUGUUUAUUAAAAACACAGCACUCUGCAAACACGAAAGUGGACGUAUAGGGUGUGACGCCUGCCCGGUGCCGGAAGGUUAAUUGAUGGGGUUAGCUAACGCGAAGCUCUUGAUCGAAGCCCCGGUAAACGGCGGCCGUAACUAUAACGGUCCUAAGGUAGCGAAAUUCCUUGUCGGGUAAGUUCCGACCUGCACGAAUGGCGUAACGAUGGCGGCGCUGUCUCCACCCGAGACUCAGUGAAAUUGAAAUCGCUGUGAAGAUGCAGUGUAUCCGCGGCUAGACGGAAAGACCCCGUGAACCUUUACUAUAGCUUUGCACUGGACUUUGAAUUUGCUUGUGUAGGAUAGGUGGGAGGCUUUGAAGCGUGGACGCCAGUUCGCGUGGAGCCAUCCUUGAAAUACCACCCUGGCAACUUUGAGGUUCUAACUCAGGUCCGUUAUCCGGAUCGAGGACAGUGUAUGGUGGGUAGUUUGACUGGGGCGGUCUCCUCCUAAAGAGUAACGGAGGAGUACGAAGGUGCGCUCAGACCGGUCGGAAAUCGGUCGUAGAGUAUAAAGGCAAAAGCGCGCUUGACUGCGAGACAGACACGUCGAGCAGGUACGAAAGUAGGUCUUAGUGAUCCGGUGGUUCUGUAUGGAAGGGCCAUCGCUCAACGGAUAAAAGGUACUCCGGGGAUAACAGGCUGAUACCGCCCAAGAGUUCAUAUCGACGGCGGUGUUUGGCACCUCGAUGUCGGCUCAUCACAUCCUGGGGCUGAAGCCGGUCCCAAGGGUAUGGCUGUUCGCCAUUUAAAGUGGUACGCGAGCUGGGUUUAGAACGUCGUGAGACAGUUCGGUCCCUAUCUGCCGUGGACGUUUGAGAUUUGAGAGGGGCUGCUCCUAGUACGAGAGGACCGGAGUGGACGAACCUCUGGUGUUCCGGUUGUCACGCCAGUGGCAUUGCCGGGUAGCUAUGUUCGGAAUAGAUAACCGCUGAAAGCAUCUAAGCGGGAAACUAGCCUCAAGAUGAGAUCUCACUGGAACCUUGAGUUCCCUGAAGGGCCGUCGAAGACUACGACGUUGAUAGGUUGGGUGUGUAAGCGCUGUGAGGCGUUGAGCUAACCAAUACUAAUUGCCCGUGAGGCUUGACCAU